GGUGCAUGGCAGACGGGUGAGUAACGCGUGGGGAAUCUACCUCUUUGUGGGGAAUAACGCUCCGAAAGGAGUGGUAAUACCGCAUGAGAUCCAUGGCUGGGAUGCUGUGGAUGAAACCUGGGGACCGCAAGGCCUGGGGCAAGGAGAGGAUCCUGCGUCUGAUUAGCUAGUUGGUGAGGUAAUGGCCCACCAAGGCGACGAUCAGUAGCCGGCCUGAGAGGGUGAUCGGCCACACUGGAACUGAGACACGGUCCAGACUCCUACGGGAGGCAGCAGUGGGGAAUUUUGCGCAAUGGGCGAAAGCCUGACGCAGCAACGCCGCGUGGGUGAUGAAGGUCUUCGGAUCGUAAAACCCUGUCGUCGGGGACGAAGGUUUGGGCGUUAAUAGCGUUCAAGCUUGACGGUACCCGGAGAGGAAGCCCCGGCUAACUCUGUGCCAGCAGCCGCGGUAAUACAGAGGGGGCAAGCGUUAUUCGGAAUUAUUGGGCGUAAAGGGCGCGUAGGCGGCUUUUUAAGUGAGAUGUGUAAUCCCCGAGCUCAACUUGGGAACUGCAUCUCAUACUGGGAGGCUAGAGUACUGGAGAGGGUGGUAGAAUUCCACGUGUAGCGGUGAAAUGC
rnacentral:rRNA from 1 species